UGCCGUUGACAAAACGGAGGAAGGUGGGGAUGACGUCAAAUCAUCAUGCCCCUUAUGUUCUGGGCUACACACGUGCUACAAUGGCCGGUACAGACGGACGCAAAGCCGCGAGGCGGAGCAAAUCCGAAAAAGCCGGUCUCAGUUCGGAUUGCAGGCUGCAAUUCGCCUGCAUGAAGUCGGAACCGCUAGUAAUCGCGGAUCAGCAUGCCGCGGUGAAUACGUUCCCGGGCCUU
rnacentral:rRNA from 1 species